UCGGACUUAGCGGCGGACGGGUGAGUAACGCGUGGGAACAUACCCUUUGGUACGGAAUAGCCUCGGGAAACUGGGAGCAAUACCGUAUGUGCCCGAAAGGGGAAAGAUUUAUCGCCUUUGGAUUGGCCCGCGUCGGAUUAGCUAGUUGGUGGGGUAAAAGCCUACCAAGGCAACGAUCCAUAGCUGGUUUGAGAGGAUGAUCAGCCACACUGGGACUGAGACACGGCCCAGACUCC
rnacentral:rRNA from 1 species